rnacentral:rRNA from 1 species
GAUGAACGCUGGCGGCGUGCCUAAUACAUGCAAGUCGAGCGAACGGACGAGAAGCUUGCUUCUCUGAUGUUAGCGGCGGACGGGUGAGUAACACGUGGAUAACCUACCUAUAAGACUGGGAUAACUUCGGGAAACCGGAGCUAAUACCGGAUAAUAUUUUGAACCGCAUGGUUCAAAAGUAAAAGACGGUCUUGCUGUCACUUAUAGAUGGAUCCGCGCUGCAUUAGCUAGUUGGUAAGGUAACGGCUUACCAAGGCAACGAUGCAUAGCCGACCUGAGAGGGUGAUCGGCUACACUGGAACUGAGACACGGUCCAGACUCCUACGGGAGGCAGCAGUAGGGAAUCUUCCGCAAUGGGCGAAAGCCUGACGGAGCAACGCCGCGUGAGUGAUGAAGGUCUUCGGAUCGUAAAACUCUGUUAUUAGGGAAGAAUAUAUGUGUAAGUAACUGUGCACAUCUUGACGGUACCUAAUCAGAAAGCCACGGCUAACUACGUGCCGGCAGCCGCGGUAAUACGUAGGUGGCAAGCGUUAUCCGGAAUUAUUGGGCGUAAAGCGCGCGUAGGCGGUUUUUUAAGUCUGAUGUGAAAGCCCACGGCUCAACCGUGGAGGGUCAUUGGAAACUGGAAAACUUGAGUGCAGAAGAGGAAAGUGGAAUUCCAUGUGUAGCGGUGAAAUGCGCAGAGAUAUGGAGGAACACCAGUGGCGAAGGCGACUUUCUGGUCUGUAACUGACGCUGAUGUGCGAAAGCGUGGGGAUCAAACAGGAUUAGAUACCCUGGUAGUCCACGCCGUAAACGAUGAGUGCUAAGUGUUAGGGGGUUUCCGCCCCUUAGUGCUGCAGCUAACGCAUUAAGCACUCCGCCUGGGGAGUACGACCGCAAGGUUGAAACUCAAAGGAAUUGACGGGGACCCGCACAAGCGGUGGAGCAUGUGGUUUAAUUCGAAGCAACGCGAAGAACCUUACCAAAUCUUGACAUCCUUUGACAACUCUAGAGAUAGAGCCUUCCCCUUCGGGGGACAAAGUGACAGGUGGUGCAUGGUUGUCGUCAGCUCGUGUCGUGAGAUGUUGGGUUAAGUCCCGCAACGAGCGCAACCCUUAAGCUUAGUUGCCAUCAUUAAGUUGGGCACUCUAAGUUGACUGCCGGUGACAAACCGGAGGAAGGUGGGGAUGACGUCAAAUCAUCAUGCCCCUUAUGAUUUGGGCUACACACGUGCUACAAUGGACAAUACAAAGGGCAGCGAAACCGCGAGGUCAAGCAAAUCCCAUAAAGUUGUUCUCAGUUCGGAUUGUAGUCUGCAACUCGACUACAUGAAGCUGGAAUCGCUAGUAAUCGUAGAUCAGCAUGCUACGGUGAAUACGUUCCCGGGUCU